rnacentral:lncRNA from 1 species
AAGCUUUUCUAGUUUGCCUGUUCUUGUGACCGUCCCGUGACAUUUUGGUCACUCUGGAUAAUUGUCAGUAACAAGCCAAAUAGCAAACAGUCCCACCCUAUCCCACCUCAUGCCAGCCAUACCCCCACUCUUGUGUACACAAUUCAUCUUCACUAACUUCUUUCAUCAGUGUCCAUGUGUUCAAAGAGCAGUUGAGAGUGGUGGUUCUCCUGGUGGGCCUGAAUCAGCAACUUCACUUCAGAACCUGACUCCUCCAAAUCUGCUGUUUCUGACUCUAGCCACCUGUGUUCAGCACAAAGACAUAGGUACAACUCUGAGCAUUCAUAUCACUAUCUCAUAACUGGCUGUAACUACAGACCCAGGGGUCUAAUGUCCUCUUCUCAGCUCUUUGGACACUUGUACUCACAUGUAUAUACCCUGACACAGACACAUAGACCUACACGUAAGUAAAAAGAGGUAGGUAUUUUAGAAAAAGACAAAUGGGUCUGGAAAGAUGGCUCAACAAUCAGAAAAGAGUCAAGUAGUCCUUCUCCAGGCCUGCAGUUCCAGUCCUCCACAUCCACUAACCUUCUGCAACUAACUCCUGUGGCCUCCACAUACACAUACACACACUUGUAAAUAAUAAAAAUAAAUCCUUUACAAAAGAAAGAAGAUGGCAAACAUGAUCAUAUGUCAGUAACCAUAAAUAAAAAGAAAAAUUGUGCUCAGAUGCAGUGUCUUAAAUGUGUGUUCUCAGCACUCAGGAGGCUGAGGGAAGCAUCACUGUGAGUUCAAGACCAACCUGGGCUACAUAGUGACUUGCAGGUGAACCUAGGCUAGCUUGAGACCUUGCCUUUUAAAUCUAAUCAAAAUAAGUUAUAACACAUUAUAUAGAUUGAAAUAAAAGUAUCUGUUAGAGCAGUGCUUCUCAACUUCCCUAAUGCUACAGCUCUUUAAUACAAUCCCUCAUGUUGUGAUGACCUCCAACCAUAAAAUUAUUUUUUUUAAAGAUUUAUUUAUUUAUUAUAUGUAAGUACACUGUAGCUGUCCUCAGAUACUCCAGAAGAGGGCAUCAGAUUUCGUUACAGAUGGUUGUGAGCCACCAUAUGGUUGCUGGGAUUUGAACUCGGGACCUUCGGAAGAGCAAUCGGCGCUCUUAACCACUGAGCCAUCUCGCCAGCCCCCAUAAAAUUCUUUUUGUUGCUACUUCAUAACUAAUUUUGCCAUUGUUAUAAAUAGUAAUAUAUAUCUGAUAUGCAGGAUAUCUAAUAUGUGACCCCUGUGAAGGUUCAUUUAACCUCUUAAAGAGGUCACAGCCUAGAGGUUGAGAACCACUGUAUUAGAUGAUAUUAGAAAGUUUGAAUGUAUAUUUGUUUAUGCAUACUAUUUAUAAUGCUGUACUUGAAAUAGCCAGACAUGGUGUUGUACACCUGGAAUGUGAAUUCAAGACCAGCCUGAUGUACAAACUGAAGUUGUCUUUAAAAAGCUCC